rnacentral:rRNA from 1 species
GAUGAACGCUGGCGGCGUGCCUAAUACAUGCAAGUCGAGCGAACGGACGAGAAGCUUGCUCCUCUGACGUUAGCGGCGGACGGGUGAGUAACACGUGGAUAACCUACCUAUAAGACUGGGAUAACUUCGGGAAACCGGAGCUAAUACCGGAUAAUAUUUUGAACCGCAUGGUUCAAAAGUGAAAGACGGUCUUGCUGUCACUUAUAGAUGGAUCCGCGCUGCAUUAGCUAGUUGGUAAGGUAACGGCUUACCAAGGCAACGAUGCAUAGCCGACCUGAGAGGGUGAUCGGCCACACUGGAACUGAGACACGGUCCAGACUCCUACGGGAGGCAGCAGUAGGGAAUCUUCCGCAAUGGGCGAAAGCCUGACGGAGCAACGCCGCGUGAGUGAUGAAGGUCUUCGGAUCGUAAAACUCUGUUAUUAGGGAAGAACAAAUGUGUAAGUAACUGUGCACAUCUUGACGGUACCUAAUCAGAAAGCCACGGCUAACUACGUG